CUUAACUAUCUUGAGUAAUUUUGUAUCAUCUGCAAGUUUUACCAUCUCAUUGUUUACCUCUUUUUCAGACCUUUUAUAAGUAUGUUGAACAAUACUGGUCCCAGUACAGAUUCUUGAAGGACAUCACGAUUUACCUCUCUUCUUUCUGAAAACUGACCAUUUAUUCUUACACUUUGUGUCCUGUCUUUUAAGCAGUAGCAAUUAGAAGUCCCAGCUGAGACUGGGUCCCCAGUGUGCUGGGCUUUGCGCACACAUCAUAGGAGACAGUCUGCGCUGAAGAAUUUACAGUCUAAACAGGCAUGACAGAGAAAGGGUGAGAGAGGAAACAGAGGCACAGAGACUUGCCCAAAUUCUUGCACAGCUCAGUAGCAAAGGCAAGACUAGAACCCUGUCCCUUGACACUCAGUUGCACUAUCCAUCAGGCAACCCUGCCUCUCACUUAUUGCUAGUCUAGCAUUGGAUGUGCACCUGCUUCACAUUCUCCAGUGAUGGUGGGUGAGCUGCUCCAUAAUCCUGCCAGCUCCUGAGCAGGGACAAGGGACUGGCUCUCCCAUUUAUGAACACAGACAGUGCCUCUCACCACAGACACUUCACGGCAGGUAUGAAGUGUUGAAUAAGAACCAUUGGAAGGAGCUGUGCACAGUUUAACUGAUGGGCAGGGAGGCUAAACUCUUCCACUAUUUUCACUUGCAAAGGUCUGACCAAAGUCCAGCACCUAUGCUUUGCUUUCCAUCCCAGGGCUAUGAACAGUGUGUGCCAGAGGUUACCAGUAACCAAACAGGUUUUCCAAAGCAGGGAACAUUUAUGGACAAAAGCCCGAGAGAGAAAAGUUACCACAAACCAAUCAAACAUCUGAACAUGUUACACUUAUCGCAAAGGAUUCUCAUCUGGCACAUGGGGACAGACUCUCUGUCAAACCUUUCUCUAAGGGUUUCUCUCAGUUUGUAGCCCAAGAUCCCAGGCCCCUGGUUAGUUUAAAUCAGCUUUUCAUACCAAAAAUCUUCAUUCUCUUUGGUUUCUGGAAACUAGUUUAACCACCUAGGGGUGGUACUUCUCUGGAGCUGUUAUCUGUCCCAAAAGAAAUUACACCCCAUCAUUUGUAUAUCCUGCAGGAGAUGGGGAACCCUCCCCCAUGGAGCAGAUUACAAUCCGGAGCCCACAAAGAUAAAUAUAUAACAGAUCGAUACUGUGAAGUUGCACUCCAUAUGCUUUAUGAAAAUAGGUUUAUGAAUCUGAAAAUGACACAGCUGGAACGUGCUUUAUGCAAAAGGUCUCUUGUAACAUAUCAUUGAAAAAGUUAUAAUGUGCUGAAUUUGAUUUUCCUAUUUGUAUGCAUGUAUCAUACUUAUAGAAAUAUAAGAUAUGAACUU